UACACAUGACCUACCUUAAUUAUGCCUCAGGCUGGUCAACAGCUAACUGGGAGUAUACCCUUUGGACAAAAUGAAGGGAAAAAAGCCUGGAUAAUUAGGCCAAGUUUAACUGCGGGAGGUAUGCAGCCUUGCUGCUGGCUUUUGUAUAUUCAUGACCCAGCUUUAUUGAUGGAAGGACGGCUUUCAGUGACACUGUCAUUUGCAAGUUGAAAGAUUAAUCCUUUCGAGAAGAGGGAGCGAAGAUUUCUGCAUUCUGUACGACAAGACAAACAUUUCCAGUUUUGCCAGAAUCUGUAAUAUAAGGGAGAAGUAUUCAGAAUAAUCCUCUGACUUGACUUAAAUUAAGGGAUGGAAGCUGAAAUUGAUUCUGAUUUUUUUGUCUUACUUCAUUGCCCUGACAAUUCCUACAUUGGAUCAACAGAAAAUUGGGGGAGAAAAAUCAACAUGAAUUCGACCUUCCAACGUGCAAGUGAUGAACUCCAUUGUGGCUCAUUGUGUCUCUGUUUUAUUGUCUUCUGUGAAAGACAUUUUAAAAUGCAGGGUGAAGGCUAGGCAAUCAAUAAGUAAAUGGUGUUUUGCACCAUUUAUUGAAUGAAUUGUAAUACUGCUAUAGCUGAAUCUUGCAAAACACGUAAUUUGGAGAGAAAUGGCAUGCUUGGACUAGGAUGAUGCUUUGGUCAGUUCUCUCCAUAUAGUCAGAUUGCUGUGUACUUUGUACAAUUUCUUUGUCUAAUAUAGCUUUUAUACAGAAGUACAAUAAUAAAAGAGCUGUAGAUAAUGUUGCAGUCUGUGGUAUGUUAAAUACCCGACAGAAGGUCCAUUAACAUAAAUGUUUUAAUCAGAGACGCAAUGUUAUGUAUCUAAAUUAAAACGUUUUGUGCAUCAGUCUGCCGAAAAAGGCAGCAUUGUAAUAAUUAAACGUCUUUGCUUUCUUUAAAAAAAAUUUCCCAGGGCAACAUUUCAAAAGUAAUACAUUGUGUUGACACAACUUCGUGGGCCUAUGUUAAUGGCAUCGGGUUUUUUUGUUUCUUGCUACUGCAUCCUUUUUUUUUGCCAUAGUGACCUGUUUGUCAUUUUAGAACAUGAAACAUGACCUAAUGUUCAACAUGUCAUUUACCUGAAAAGACGGCUGAUUUGAGGGACAUGGAGCAGUUCUUUAACAGAGUGCACAGACUCGCUUCAGGGCUGAGUGAUAGAUUUGCCUGCCUGGAGCAUCCCAGUGUGUUUAUACAUGGCUUGUAUGGCAGCUUUCAUAAGACAUUUACCCCAUGAUUUGCGAUGAGCUUAUGUGUGAAUAAUUAAUGGCAAUUAAUCCUUAAUUACAGUAAUUAGGCAAGUCACAGGAAAUUAAGCUGCAGCUGGAGAAGACCAUGUCUGGGAAGAGUAUCGGGGCUGAGCGAGUGUGCCAUUACUGAUAGCGUUACUAGGAUGAGCAAUACUCAGCAGUGAUGGCAUUUCUGUUGGAGAACUUGGGUGGGACAAGAGUUAAUAACACUUUUAGCAGAACCAGAUCUGACAUAUUUUAGCUUUGAAACCGUACAAGCCACUUGUGUGUUCGGGCAGCUGUGUGCUGCAAUGCAUUUGCAGGCUAGGUAUUAAAUUCGGCUCACAAACAUCACUUCAUUCUGUGUGACAACAUGCAGUGCAGUUGGCAGAAUGGCAGUCUGUUUUAUUUAUACAACGACAAAUUGUAAAGUAUAAUUUGUGUGGUUUAAAAAUUUUCAGCUGGUGAUAAACUUGGGUCUAAACAAAUUUGAGAUGAGAAGAGUAUGUGGAGGCUCAACUCUUCCAUAAUUUUAAGUGCAAACAGGAACUCCAAUGAACAGUGUUCUUUGAUAUGGGACAUUUUACAACCCACCAUGCAUUUCUUCUAGCCUAAUUAUCAGAAAAAAUUAAAAGGUAAUCUUUUUUCAUAGUGAGUUCAUUUUAAUAUGCUGUUCCUGUGACUGUCUAAGCUUGGUGUAAACAGUCAGACCAGGAUUUAGUGACCUGACACCGUGACUUGAGCUCAGCUAACCCUAUAUUUCAGGGUAGAAGACAACGAGAAAUUAUAUGUUCUUUCUGCCUUCUAGUCAAAUUUUGAAUAGGAUUUAUUCCAGUUUAACUUUUUUAGGCCUGCAUUCGGUGCUUUGUAUUUUUAAAUAUCAGUCAAGAAAAAUAAUGUCUGCUCUGAUAGACGGCAGGAAUUGUCAAAAUUACUCUCAACUAGAUCUGUUUAGAUUCAAAGCUUUUGUAAUUAACUAAUUACUGUAUUCCAAUUUAGCCUGCCCUGUAUGCUGUAUCUCAUGUAGUAUUGAGCAGCUGAAGAAAUAGCUCACAUUUAGAAUGUUUCUAGUUUCCCUCAUUUGACCUGCAAAAGUAUUUCAAAUCACUGGUCAUCGAUUAAUCGUGACAUCUAUGAUGGUGAAUUUGAGCUGCGGAAAUGGGUUUUGUAUAUGUCUGAAGGAGAGAAUUCAACAGAACCAGGCAAAUUACUGUAAUUUAAAGAGAGUGUAAUUUACCAACUGCCUUUAGGCUAAUGCAGAGAGAGGCCAAGGAUGUUCAGAGUGAGUGAAAAUCCGUUUUCCUCGAAUGGGAAUGUACGCUUCAGCUUAGGCAUUGAUUGUUGCCCAGUUGUAUCUUUUGUUCUUGGUUAGAAUUAAGUUGUAUUUAUAUUAAAAUAAUAAUAUUUCGUGCUUGAUUUGAUUACUGAUUGAACUGAAGCCUGUGAAAAGGAAAUGGCUUAUUCCAGUAAUAUUUUAUAAAAUAAAAGAUUCAGCUCCUCUCCUGCCCAUCGUUUCACGAUUUACAAACUAAAUGUAUCAAAGACAAAUUUGCUUUAAAAGGUGCAGGUGCUCUUGUGGAUGCCAUGCCAGAUAUUCAAUUUGUUUGCACUGGACGACAAAAUGCAGAUUGUCUCCCUAUGCUAAUAGCUAUAAUAUUAUAUCACAUGCAAUAAAAAAUGGGUAACAAAA